UCAAAACUGAAAUAGAAAGUCUAAAACCAGAAUUUGAGAAUUGUUUUUCCAGCGUGUAUUUUCUGACAUCUUGUUUUUAAUCUUCUACAUCUCCCUUUUCUCAAUUUUCUGCUGGAUUUCUCCUUUCCCCCCACUCCAGAAGGAGAGUUCUCUCCUUUAUAAGCCUUUCUGCCACUGAACAAACUGCCUCAUACUAUUGCCUCACGACAAGAAGCCUGAGGUUUUGUCAGCGGUAACAGUUUUCGGUCCAAUGGGUGCGUGCACACGCAGUAAUGAAGAUGUUGCAGAUCCUUGCAGAAAGACCUCUUUUGAAGAUCUAACUCAUCUGGGCUGCCAGCAUUGCUGACAGGCCGCAUUCAGUCAACAGCGAGGAAAAUACCGGUACCCUUCUACACAAAUCAGUGCUGUCGGAAGUUGAGCACAGAUCACACAAAAGCCUCGUACAGAAGUCCCCUUUCUAGAUAAACCUCGUCAACGAUGCCCUCGCUUCCAUGGAAGUCUGAGUGGGCAGCAGCGUUGAUCCAGCAUUGCAGGAUCAUGGCCUGCCCGCCUUGUCAUCUUGCCUGACUUCUAAGUGCUUUUUAGGUAAUUUUGUUUCCACUGUAAGAACAGUUUAACUCUUCUGUAUCUUUCUGAGAGGAAGAAUAUGCUUAUAAACAUUGUCAAAUGUAAUGCCAUGUUACUAGUCUACUCCAGGAAGGUGAAAAUGUUCUUACAUAAACAUGUUAUCCUUAUGUGCUGAUUUUUCUCUCUGCAUGUUGUACUGAUGAGUUCUGUAUAAAUAAAGUUUAGUAGAGGAAUUC